UGGCUUUGUAAGUUUGAUGUGAAAGCUCCGAGCUCAACUCGGAAAUUGCAUUGAAAACUGCAUGGCUAGAGGGUCGGAAGGGAGACUGGAAUUUUGGGUGUAGCAGUGAAAUGCGUAGAUAUCCAGAGGAACACCAGUGGCGAAGGCGAGUCUCUGGACGAAUCCUGACACUGAGGCACGAAAGCUAGGGUAGCAAACAGGAUUAGAUACCCUGGUAGUCCUAGCCGUA
rnacentral:rRNA from 1 species